rnacentral:rRNA from 1 species
UACGAAGGGGGCUAGCGUUGCUCGGAAUCACUGGGCGUAAAGGGUGCGUAGGCGGGUCUUUAAGUCAGGGGUGAAAUCCUGGAGCUCAACUCCAGAACUGCCUUUGAUACUGAGGAUCUUGAGUUCGGGAGAGGUGAGUGGAACUGCGAGUGUAGAGGUGAAAUUCGUAGAUAUUCGCAAAGAACACCAGUGGCGAAGGCGGCUCACUGGCCCGAUACUGACGCUGAGGCACGAAAGCGUGGGGGAGCAAGCAGGAUAACAACCGGUGUAACGUCC